rnacentral:rRNA from 1 species
UACGAAGGGGGCGAGCGUUGUUCGGAAUUACUGGGCGUAAAGAGCGCGUAGGCGGAGGGAGAAGUCCGGUGUGAAAGCCCACGGCUCAACCGUGGAAGGUCGCUGGAAACUCUUCUUCUUGAGGGCGACAGAGGGAAGUGGAAUUGCUGGUGUAGCGGUGAAAUGCGUAGAUAUCAGCAGGAACACCCAUGGCGAAGGCAGCUUCCUGGGUCGGCCCUGACGCUGAGGCGCGAAAGCGUGGGGAGCGAACGGG